rnacentral:rRNA from 1 species
AUUGAACGCUGGUGGCAGGCCUAACACAUGCAAGUCGAGCGGCAGCGCGGGGCAACCUGGCGGCGAGCGGCGAACGGGUGAGUAACGCGUAGGAAUCUACCCAGUAGCGGGGGAUAGCCCGGGGAAACUCGGGUUAAUACCGCAUACGCCCUAAGGGGGAAAGCAGGGGAUCGUAAGACCUUGCACUAUUGGAAGAGCCU